UUAAGCUUUGGUUCUCUAUUGAAUUGAAUGCGCGCGCGACACGGUGAGUAACACGUGGGUAACCUGCCCAUAAGACUGGGAUAACUCCGGGAAACCGGGGCUAAUACCGGAUAACAUUUUGAACCGCAUGGUUCGAAAUUGAAAGGCGGCUUCCGCUGUCACUUAUGGAUGGACCCGCGUCGCAUUAGCUAGUUGGUGAGGUAACGGCUCACCAAGGCAACGAUGCGUAGCCGACCUGACAGGGUGAUCGGCCACACUGGGACUGACACACGGCCCAGACUCCUACGGGAGGCAGCAGUUGGAAUCUUCCGCAAUGGACGAAAGUCUGACGGAGCAACGCCGCGUGAGUGAUGAAGGCUUUCGGGUCGUAAAACUCUGUUGUUAGGGAAGAACAAGUGCUAGUUGAAUAAGCUGGCACCUUGAAGGUACCUAACCAGAAAGCCACGGGUAACUACGUGGCAAAAGCCGGGGUAAUACGUAGGGGCAAGCAAAAUCGGAAUUAUUGGCGUAAGCGGCGGAGUGGUUUAUAAGUCGGGGUGAAACCAGGGGUAACCGGGAGGGCAUGGAAAGGGAAACUUGAGUGCCAAAAAAGGGUAAUGAAUUUCCCCGGUUAGCGGGGAAAAAUUUUAAGGAUUUGGGAACAACCCCCCCUUUCUAACGGUACUUUCUGAGACAUUAAGGAACCCAAAGGGGGGACUCCACGCCGAGGCACCCCCCUUCUCGACGUCGGGUUCUCCAAGUUUUUUUACAUAUUUAAGGGCCAAGGAAGAAACCUGGUUACCCCUCCCUGGGGGGAGAAACACACAGAAAUUGAACGGGGACCGGCGCGGGGGGGGGCCACUGGGGUUUAUAACACACGGGUGUAGCAUAAAAACCUCCCCAAAUACCCCAUCCACUUCUCAUUUUCAGAGAAAUUUUCGGAACUCGCAUAGUCUCCUCCGGGGUCUUUG
rnacentral:rRNA from 1 species